GCUCCUCCCACGUGCCACGGUGGGCGGGGCUUGGUCACCGGCUCCUCCCCCCUUGGACGAAGCGCCGCCUCUCCACCUGCGCGCGCAGCAUUCCUCUUGAAAUCUCCAAAUAAUAGUGUUGGGGCUUCUAUUUAGUGUACUUUGUUCCCUUAGAUGAAGCGCACCUCUAUAUAGGGCGCCUCAUGUUCAUAUCCAUUUUUUUUUUUGUUUUGGUUUUAUUCCAAUGCCUUUUCUUCUCAUUUUCUUUGGACCGUGAAGUCAGCUGAUGUCGGAUAGACGAGCAGCUGUCUUCCUCAAACAGGCCUACCAACAACCUAAGAAUCAAGAUUUUGAUAAAUAUACAGAAAGCAAACGUAAAUACCAUACAGAUUAUUAAACGCUAAUAAUGAGGAAUAAGAGAGGAAAGAAAACUCCCCAUAACCUGAAUCAUUACUUGAAAAUUGCCUCAGAUUGAUACAAUUAUCAGGCGAUCGCGUGACGUCAUAAAUCCUAAAGUAUAAUGACGUAUUUCUUUUUUUUCUCGUUUUCUUUUUUCCUUUUCUUAUUUGACCAAUUUAGAGUCACGUGAUCACAUUUCUACCCCUAAAUUAUAAAUUGUUCACCUCUACCCCAUAAACCAUGGACAGGAAAAUAAGCUAAAAUCAUUCUUUGUGAAACGAAAGGAACAAAGUAUCUAAAAAAAAAAAGUGAUUAAGAUAAAAAAAAAAAAAAAAUAAAGAUAAAAUAAUCCCUAUAUAUCAUUCAGAUUGCAUGAUCUAGACACACUCAAUUGAUAUUCACCAUAUAAAUAUUUUUCCUUAUUUUGUGAAGUUCUGAAAACCAAAAAUAAAUUUAUCUAGAAUAA